UACGGAAGGCAGCAGUGGGGAAUAUUGCACAAUGGGCGAAAGCCUGAUGCAGCUAUGCCGCGUGUAUGAAGAAGGCCUUAGGGUUGUAAAGUACUUUCAUCGGGGAGGAAAAAACAAAACUAAUAAUUUUAUUUCUUGACGUUACCCGAAAAAGAAGCACCGGCUAACUCCGUGCCAGCAGCCGCGGUAAUACGGAGGGUGCUAGCGUUAAUCAGAAUUACUGGGCGUAAAGAGCACGUAGGUGGUUUUUUAAAGUCAGAUGUGAAAUCCCUGGGCUUUAACCUAGGAACUGCAUUUUGAAACUGAAAUACUAGAGUAUCGUAGAGGGAGGUAGAAUUCUAGGUGUAGCGGUGAAAUGCGUAGAUAUCUGGAGGAAUACCUGUGGCGAAAGCGGCCUCCUAAACGAAUACUGACACUGAGGUGCGAAAGCGUGGGGAGCAAACAGGGAUUAGAUACCCGU
rnacentral:rRNA from 1 species